AAGCACUCACCCUUAGAUGUCUCCAAAGUUGCAGGAACUCUGUCCUAUAGUCACACUUGAGAAUGAAGAUCUUUAAAAAAGAACAGUAAACCUUUGAGAACUAAAAGACAAAGGCUGAGAGACAGAGAAAAAGAGUGAAUGAAACCACAGCACCAAAUCUUCCUUCAAUGUGGUAGGGGCCUGGUUUGAACCUGGGUUGCAUGGCAAAGUAGUACACCAUCCAAGAAAGAAAACCCACAGUAUGUCACUGAACAAACAAAAGGAAACAAUAAACAGUUUAUAUGAUUUGA